rnacentral:lncRNA from 1 species
UGAACGAGGCCUGGAUUUGCAAAGUCAAAGACUGGUUUCUAAUUUGCAAAGUCUCUACCAUUUUCUUAAUUUGACAUGAGAAUGUUUUGUUGUUAUUUUUCUAGACUUGGUGUGAGCCACCAGAACGACAAGUUAGACAGGUGUAUUUGGAUCACGUCAAGCUUCUUUCAAUUCAUCACCAUGUCCGUUGCUAAGGUCAGUUUCAAUGGAGUUUCAUGAAGAGAUUUAUGGGCAUUAAAUUUUAUACCACAUCAGCAAUUUUGCUGACUUAGUAAGGUCAUUUAUGAUUAGAGUUUUACCAGAUGUGAGAUGAGUUUCAUCACUAUAACACUUCGCUGGUAUAGUUAUCUAGUUCUUAAUCUUGAUACCUGUGCAAUGAGACUGGACUAAACCAGGGACACGUAUCGCAUAACCAACACCCCACGCCCACGGCAGUUGAGGAAUUGUGCUAACUCUCCUGUCAUAUGCUCAUCAAAAAUUAAUAUCAACAAGAAGUGGAGGGUCCAUAUGGCUCAGUACUUAAUAAGUCCUCAUGAUUGUCGAUGAAUGCAUGAUGCCGAAGGUAGGUAUUGAUCUAUUUAAGGGUUUAAGUAAUCAAUGGGAAAGUUGACUCGAGUAUUUUUUUUAAGUUAACACAUGCACACAAUACACGUAUCACACACUCACAUCUAUAAACUUCGAUAAGGAACUGAGCAGAUAUAUCUUCAGGUUGACGAAGCCAGUACAGUACAAGUGCCUCAUUGUCGAUGGUUGUGUUACCAAAUCACCGAUAAAAAUAGCCAAAUUUAGUGAGACACGCAUGAUGUAAAACAAGAGGUUGAUCCUUAAUGGUUCCAUCACUAGCUAGGUUGAGCUUAUUCUAAGUUACAAUUAACCAUCUAAACAAUACUCUCUUGACUCUAUUAUUUUUUUCACGCCUCCAAUCCACAUUCCUUAUUUUUCCCUUCUCUGCUCACCUCCUCCGACUCUUACGACAUCCACCCUCAUGGCUCCAUCCCUAACAAGAUAGGGCUUGUCCACUAGGUUAAAUUAGAUAUUUAUUUUGAAGAUUUUGGGGGAUAGGAUCUUGGAUUUAGAGGAGAAUGAUGAAGAUAAAUGUUAGCCCAGCGAUGGAGGUGGUUGGUUGGCAGGCGGCGAGCCAUAAGAGGCACCACGGUCUAGGAUGGUGGAGGAUGGUUGGUAGUGAGUGUUAGGGCACUCACAACUCACUUGUACAAGUUAGCGUGACGACAAACUUGGCAACGAAAGAUGCCGGAUAUUGGAGCGGGAGGGGAGGUUAGGAGAAAGAGGAAAAUGUGGUUAAGAAGAAAUGCAUUAACAGUUGGCUCAAAAUCAGAUGGAUGAAAAACAUUAGGAGAGAGGGAUGAAAAAAUCAGGGUGUGAAAGGACGAAAAAUACGUUUAGUGUGGUACAACCAAUCCCUUGGCUAAACUGGACAUGCAACAUUUUCUAUCCAACAUGGUUUUUGCAGACUGUAUGGAAGGUAGAAUAACUCCCUGUGUCAUUUGGACGCUAGGGACAAGGUUCUCUCCAUGAUAAGCCUGGUCCAUGACUACCCUCAAAAUUCUAGCGUGGGAGUAAUGCGGAAUAUCAAUCUCAUUCUCCUUUAUGGAAAUAAGACAUAAUUCAUUUAAGGUUUAGGUUUUUAUACAUCUGGUAAAAAAGUAUAAAAAGUAUAUUUAGAUGAGGUUUUUAUACGGUAGAUUUAGUUUUUUAUACUAUUUUUUGGUUCAAUUUACUCCUACAACUAUGUCAAUUGGCCCAAUUUACCCCUUAAUAAGAUUUGUUUUUUUCUCCACACACAAAUGGAGUUUUAAGUUAAAUUUUGUAGGAUGGUCGUAAACAUCAUAACAUACGUUAGGAAAAUAUGUUAUGAAUUUUGUUGUCACUACUUUGAUAGACUAGGGUAUCUAAUAAUAAAAUUAAUCCUUGGUAUAU